GGGCGAGUGGUGGAACUGGUAGACACGCUAGGUUCAGGGUCUAGUGCUCUUACGAGCAUGGGGGUUCAAAUCCCCCCUCGCCCACCA
rnacentral:tRNA from 2 species